CCUUUAGCUCAGCUGGUUAGAGCGCUCGGCUCAUAACCGAUCGGUCGCAGGUUCGAGUCCUGCAAGGCC
rnacentral:tRNA from 1 species